AACGAACGCUGGCGGCAUGCCUAACACAUGCAAGUCGAACGAGACCUUCGGGUCUAGUGGCGCACGGGUGCGUAACGCGUGGGAACCUGCCCUUAGGUUCGGAAUAACUCCCCGAAAGGGGUGCUAAUACCGGAUAAUGUCUUCGGACCAAAGAUUUAUCGCCUUUGGAUGGGCCCGCGUUGGAUUAGCUAGUUGGUAGGGUAAAAGCCUACCAAGGCGACGAUCCAUAGCUGGUCUGAGAGGAUGAUCAGCCACACUGGGACUGAGACACGGCCCAGACUCCUACGGGAGGCAGCAGUGGGGAAUAUUGGACAAUGGGCGAAAGCCUGAUCCAGCAAUGCCGCGUGAGUGAUGAAGGCCUUAGGAUUGUAAAGCUCUUUUACCCGAGAUGAUAAUGACAAUACCGGGAGAAUAAGCUCCGGCUAACUCCGUG
rnacentral:rRNA from 1 species